UACAGAGGCCUCGAGCGUUAGGCGGAAUCACUGGGCUUAAAGCGUGUGUAGGCGGACUUCUAAGUGCCUUGUGAAAUCCCACGGCUCACCCGUGGAACUGCUGGGCAUACUGGGAGUCUUGAGCCACCUAGGGGCGGAGCGGAACAAAUGGUGGAGCGGUGAAAUGCGUAGAUAUCAUUUGGAACGCCAACGGAGAAAUCAGCUCGCUGGGGGUGUGCUGACGCUGAGACACGAAAGCCAGGGGAGCGAACGGG
rnacentral:rRNA from 1 species